AGAUACUUAGGUUAACUCAAACCAGAGACCUUCAAAGUCUCAAAUAGGACCUACUCCUCCUAGUUUCUG
rnacentral:tRNA from 1 species